rnacentral:rRNA from 1 species
GACGAACGCUGGCGGCGUGCUUAACACAUGCAAGUCGAACGGAAAGGCUCUUCUUUUGUGGGGUGCUCGAGUGGCGAACGGGUGAGUAACACGUGGGUAACCUGCCCUGGACUUUGGGAUAACUUUAGGAAACUGGGUCUAAUACCGGAUAGGACGUUGUGCUGCAUGGCGUGGGUUGGAAAGUUUCGGCGGUUGGGGAUGGACUCGCGGCUCAUCAGCUUGUUGGUGGGGUAGUGGCUUACCAAGGCUUUGACGGGUAGCCGGCCUGAGAGGGUGACCGGCCACAUUGGGACUGAGAUACGGCCCAGACUCCUACGGGAGGCAGCAGUGGGGAAUAUUGCACAAUGGGCGGAAGCCUGAUGCAGCAACGCCGCGUGCGGGAUGACGGCCUUCGGGUUGUAAACCGCUUUCGCCUGUGACGAAGCGUGAGUGACGGUAAUGGGUAAAGAAGCACCGGCUAACUACGUG